GAGACAGGUGCUGCAUGGCUGUCGUCAGCUCGUGUUGUGAAAUGUUGGGUUAAGUCCCGCAACGAGCGCAACCCUUAUCCUUGUUUGCCAGCGAGUAAUGUCGGGAACUCCAGGGAGACUGCCGGUGAUAAACCGGAGGAAGGUGGGGACGACGUCAAGUCAUCAUGGCCCUUACGAGUAGGGCUACACACGUGCUACAAUGGCGCAUACAGAGGGCGGCCAACUUGCGAAAGUGAGCGAAUCCCAAAAAGUGCGUCGUAGUCCGGAUUGGAGUCUGCAACUCGACUCCAUGAAGUCGGAAUCGCUAGUAAUCGUGGAUCAGAAUGCCACGGUGAAUACGUUCCCGGGCCUUGUACACACCGCCCGUCACACCAUGGGAGUGGGCUGCAAAAGAAGUAGGUAGUUUAACCUUCGGGGGGACGCUUACCACUUUGUGGUUCAUGACUGGGGUGAAGUCGUAACAAGGUAGCGCUAGGGGAACCUGGCGCUGGAUCACCUCCUUA
rnacentral:rRNA from 1 species